CCUGUAGGUAAACGAUGGAUAAAUCCAAGAAAAAGAAAAGUUUCACAGAUGACAGCUUACAGUCCUGAUGUGCAGACGCUGUGCGCUGAGGUUCAGGAGCAAAAAUCACCUUAACCAGGUGACAGCUGACUGCACGCUCCUGUACACGCGAUAAAAUGAUGAAGGAACACAGAAGCAGACGGUGUUUUGGUUCGCUGCAGAAAUCUCUGCAGGAAUUUCACAAGAAAGCGGCGGCAGAAGAGGAUUUUCUGCAAGAAAUAUCAAAAACUUUUGUGCUGCAGUUUAAUGGGACUGCCCGACACGCGUUUGGAGUUGGAGGUGGCCAAAGCCAUA